GGGGCAGCGGGGCUGGGCUCCGGCCGGGAGUCAGACGAGGGAGCGCGCGCGCGCUCCCGGACAGUUCUCCGCAGCCGCUCGCCCGAGCCUUCUACUUGGCCAACACAGCUGCCUCUACCACCUCGCGUGCCCGGUUCGUGGGCUUUCAGUUACCAAGCAUGUCCUGAAGAUGAAGAUACUCUCAGCCUAACGUCUCCAAGCAAAUAUUGAUUCAGCAGUAUCCCCAGGCAAAGCCACACCAUAUAUCAGUGAACAGAGAAACAACUGCCCUUCUCCGGGCCCCUGUCUGAGAAGCUGGAGCAUCAGCCCUGGAGCUCUCCGGAGCAGUUUCCUUGCUCACUGUCCCCAGCUGAACACAGCCGCAUGCAGAGGUCCAAAGCACGUAAACAGGAUACCCACCCUGCAUUAUCUUAUAUUUUAAGUCAAUAUGAAGAUGGACAUUCUACCCCUGAGACCAAUUUCGAUCAAAUACUUUUGUCAAUAAAAAGAUACUAAUGU
ensembl:lincRNA Gm2694 predicted gene 2694